UGUUAAAAGGGAUGGGUCCUAGAGUGCCAAGGCUUGGCACUUGCAAUCUUAAGAGACCAUCCAGUCCAGUAGUUUUUCCAAGUUAUUUAAUAGUGAAGGGCUUUAGUAUAUAAACAAAAUAUUGGUUGAAUGAAGAACCUACCUACUGAGCUUUCUUGUCAUUCCCAUCCCACCCCAACCAACAAAGAAUGUUUGAAAAACUGAUCCAAUCCUAAUUUUACAGGUUAAACUAAAUUUAGGCCCAGUGUGGUUAAAUUAUUUUCUAAGAGUCAUAACAAGUUAGAAGCAAUUUUGAAACCAGAGAUUCCUAAAUCCAGGUCACUGGUUAGAAGUAGUUUCAGGUACUACUAAAAAGGUAAAGUAUGAUAGUGACAUGCAGUCUUAUUUCUGAGAAGUCAAAGCUGAGUCUUUAACGAAUCAGUCGUCUUAAAUGUUGUUUUGAUAAUGGUCUGAGCAGAGAAUGGCAGGAUAUGGAACAUGCCGCCAAUAAACAAAACCUCAGAGAUGGGAAGGACACAGGAACAAUCACAGAGCAGCAACCGAAUUCUCAUUUCCAAGUAGUCGCCUUUUAAGGAUAAGAACCCACAGAAGUUAAGAGUCAGGCAAAAUUGGGAGGGAAAGAGUAAGAAAGCCAAGUAUUGGAUGUGUGUGAUCUAACCAAGGACAAAUCACAACUCUCCAGACCAAGGCCACUGCAACUGAAAGGUUACAGAACAAAAGAUACUGGACUCCAGCCACACCCUAACUCCAGAGGACUCAGAAGAGAUCUUACCACGACCUCAGCUAGAGAAGCCUACACAGCACACAGGAGCCUGAACUUAGGACCACUUUGUUAGGAAAGGGACCCAGGGACAAGUCACCACUCACUUUAACUUCUUCCCACAUGGGACAACAUAAAAUGUGUAGAGAGACAAAAUCCAUGGGAGCCCCACUAUUUUUGAGAAGCAAGAAUAUCUGCUGCUCUCUGAGCGCCAGGGAUUUCCAAAAUGAAGCACUGCAUACCUCAUAACAGCUCCCACCAAUAGAAGUCAAGCCAAUAUAUCACUAAUUGCCAAAUGACACACAGCAAGUUGCCUACCAGGAUCAAAGUAGGAGAAAAAUAAUGGUAAAAGGAUAUUAACUAUGCCAAGCACAUUCACCAAUCCUCUCUUUAAAAAUUCUAGGAUGAAAUGGUAAUAUGACUGUUUCACAGGUAGCAAAACAGGCUCAGGGAAACUGAGAACUUUCCCAAGAUCUCAAUACCAUUAAGUGAUAAAGACAAGAUUCAGUGCCAGGCCUCCUUUCCCUAUUUAUGCUUCUCACCCAAAGAACAACCUAGAGUGCUAGUGCUGGUCUAGACAAAGAUGUCAAGUGGCAGAUGACACCUCAAAAAGCCUAUUAGCAAAGUACUACACUGUGCUUACCUUUCAAGAAUGAUUUCCUCAUGGGUGACUUUGUUCCACAUUUUUGGAUUUCUCCAUAUAACUGAUUUUAAUCAUCCUGAUGAAAAUAUAUCUAAACUUUAAUGAAUACUUUCCUGCCUACCUUUUAGAUAGUCACUGAACAGAAUUCCAACAGAUUUUCAUGAAUAUCAGUUAUUGUUAUAAUGUAGUGGUCCCCUCUGGGAUUCCCAAGAUGGGAUGAACUAUUUCGGACAUGGCAGAAGUGUUUCUCAGAAUAUUUUCUUUCUCCAAGCCAAGGCCUUCUAUCAACCAUGAAUUCAGAAGUUUACACUAUCCAGAGUUCAGGAGGGCACUAAGAAGACAGAAAGUGAGCUAUCUUGGACAGUCAAGGAGAGACUACCAGAGAAGUCAAAACCCUGAGGAAGACUAGCAGAUGAAAAGGAAAGGAAAGAUGGUUCAUGAAAGGAAUUCCACAAAGACCCAUGGGAGAACAAAAGCAUUGCUGUUACAAAAAAUCAAUGGGACAAAUGGAGAUUGUUGACCAAGUUUCAUGAGAGCUGAGAGGAAAAGAGCUGGAAUGCAAUGCACAGUGAAGAGCCUGGGCCUGACGGAUUCAUGUCUUUGUCUUCCUUUAGAAUGAGGAAGGAGAAAAAGAUGGAGAUAUAUGCAACUGGUUUGUAUCUGGAAUGGUGGAAAGCAAGUAAGGAGUGUUAUCUCUAUUUACCAAUGGGUAACUAGGUUCCAGAAGACUGACUUGCCAAAGGUCACACGGCUAGGUAAUGGCAAAAAAUCUCCUAUCCAAUGCUGUUCACAAAAGACAAGUGUAAUGAACAGUUCAAAAGGUCUAACAGUCCUAAAACUAAUAAAUACAGACCUUAACACGGUCUAGAAACCAAGGUUCUCAUCUCAUUCUGCCACUAGCUAGCUUCGUAACCUCAAAAGGAUUCCUUAACCCAUUUGACUCUAUCAAAUGAGAAGACUGGGCUAAAUGAUACCUGGUCCCUUUCAGUUCUUACACUUUAUGGUUCUGAAUCACCAGACUGCACUUGGGCCAGAGAAGGACUAAUCCCCUAGUGAUUAAAAGCCAGAGAACCCCUAUACUUGCCUGGUCAGUCAUUAGCCAGCAUCUGCUAGAGAAACUAAAACUCAAAUGAUCAGGUGGUAACAAUGGCCCUGGGAGGAAACUGGCAAUAACAUCCCAAAUAACCAAAAGCUAGCUCUGCCCUCAGCUCCUCAGCUCCCUGGAAAUAUCCUGGUUCUAAACAGUUUGGAAUGCUUACAAGCGACAUUGUAUUCAGCCUUCCAUUUCCAUGGCAAUGUUUUGCCUACUUCCAAAAUGAAUUUCAAGGGCAUGUGCUACUAUAAUAAAACCCUAACCUAACUAACCAACAAUAAAAAGACCAAGACAAAAUUUCGAAAAGGCUUUGGGGAAUGGUGGAAUGGGGGGGAAAAAAAGCUAAAGAAUCUACAAAGGCCAGGCAUGGUGGCUCACACCUGUAAUCCCAGCACUUUGGGAGGCCAAGGUGGGAGGAUCACUUGAGUUCAGGGAUUCAAGACUAACCUGAGAAAAAUACUGAGACCUUGUAUCUACAAAAAAAAUAUAAAAAUUAUCUGGGUUUGAUGACAUGUGCCUGUAGUCUCAGCUACUUGGGAGGCUGAGGUGGGAGGAUCACUUGAGUCCAGGAGGUCAAGAGUGCAGUGAGCAAGGAUCACGCCACUGCACUCCAGCCUGGACAGAAUGAGAAUCUUAAAAAAAAAAAAAAAAAUUGUCUUAAAAAACAUUUCUCAUUUAAACGCAAAUGUUUGUAUGAAGAUUUCUGACAGCCAAGUGGGAAGUACAACAGAAUUUUAAGUUCUAACUAAUAAUAAAAGUAAGCAUACUGGAUAGAGUCAAAAUUCUCCUGGCUCUAAAAAGAAUUUGUCCCAUGGGUCAGAACAAAUCUAGGUAC
rnacentral:lncRNA from 10 species